rnacentral:rRNA from 1 species
UACAGAGGGUGCAAGCGUUGUUCGGAUUCACUGGGCGUAAAGGGUGCGUAGGUGGUUAGGUAAGUCCGAUGUGAAAUCUCCAGGCUCAACCUGGAAAUGGCAUUGGAUACUAUUUAGCUUGAGGAGUGGAGGGGGGACUGGAAUUCUCGGUGUAGCAGUGAAAUGCGUAGAUAUCGAGAGGAACACCAGUGGCGAAGGCGAGUCCCUGGACACUUCCUGACACUGAGGCACGAAAGCUAGGGGAGCAAACAGG